UACAGAGGGUGCUAGCGUUAAUCGGAUUUACUGGGCGUAAAGCGUGCGUAGGCGGUUCGUUAAGUCGAUUGUGAAAGCCCUGGGCUCAACCUAGGAAUUGCAGUCGAUACUGGCGGCCUAGAGAUCGGUAGAGGGAGGUGGAACUCCAGGUGUAGCGGUGAAAUGCGUAGAUAUCUGGAAGAACACCGAUGGCGAAGGCAGCCUCCUGGGCCUGAUCUGACGCUGAGGCACGAAAGCGUGGGGAGCAAACAGG
rnacentral:rRNA from 1 species